rnacentral:rRNA from 1 species
UUUAACUUGGAGCCCGAACUCUCACUUUCUAACCCUGUGCAUCUGUUAUUGGUUAGUAGCUCUUCGGAGUGAACUCCAUUCACUUACAAACACAAAGUCUAUGAAUGUAUACAAAAUUAUAACAAAACAAAACUUUCAACAACGGAUCUCUUGGCUCUCGCAUCGAUGAAGAACGCAGCGAAAUGCGAUACGUAAUGUGAAUUGCAGAAUUCAGUGAAUCAUCGAAUCUUUGAACGCACCUUGCGCUCCUUGGUAUUCCGAGGAGCAUGCCUGUUUGAGUGUCAUGAAAUCUUCAACCCACCUCUUUCUUAGUGAAUCUGGUGGUGCUUGGUUUCUGAGCGCUGCUCUGCUUCGGCUUAGCUCGUUCGUAAUGCAUUAGCAUCCGCAACCGAACUUCGGAUUGACUUGGCGUAAUAGACUAUUCGCUGAGGAUUCUAGUCUCGUACUAGAGCCGGGUUGGGUUAAAGGAAGCUUCUAAUCCUAAAGUCUAUUUUUUGAUUAGAUCUCAAAUCAGGUAGGACUACCCGCUGAACUUAAGCAUAUCAAUAAG